UUUACUUCAGGACACGAGAACCCCAUUUUUGCAUCUAAGUAAUUUGGAGGAAGGUCACUAUCAGUUUAUACUUCGUGUAGCUGAUAGCAUUGGCCAGUCUUCUAAUACUUCAGUCUAUGUUUAUGUACAAAAGCCAAACCUUGCUGCACCAAAAGCAAAUGCUGGAGAAGACAUUCAGAUUGUGCUGCCUAACACAACAGUAAUGCUUGAUGGAACCCACAUACAGAUAAUACUAUGACAACUCACUGGCUUUGGAAACAGAUCAGUGGUCCAAAUACUGCACAUUUCUUAAGACAGAUGAGGUAAAAGUGAAUAUUUCAGGACUAACCAAAGGAAAG